CUCACUAAACUAAUCACAGCUUCUCUGUCAAACCCUCACAUGCAAGCUAACCUUUCUACAAUAAACAGCACGUCGUAUUACUUGGGUUUUAUUGGAUAGUUUUUAAUAAACGUUUGUAAACCCGAAACCGUUUGUGGUUAAUUUUGGCCCCUUACAACAUUAUAGAGAACAGCUGAAGUCCCGACUGCUUGACGACUGAUGAUACAUCAAUCAGGUAACUUUUGUCUGAGAAGAGUCAUCAUCUACCAGGAAAGUUUUACUGGACUGCAGACUAUAAUAUGUGAUUUAAAACGUUGAAGUGGUGAACUGUUUUAAAGGAUUUGAAGUUAUAUACAUGGAAAUAAUCGCGCAAACAGUUUUUAAUAUGUAAAUAAUCUACUGGUCGACCUAUGUGUUUUUUACUGCGAGAACUUCGCUUUUCUACACAAAGCAAGCAGAUUCUUUUUUUUUUAUCUGCAGUAAUGACACUAACCAUCAAUUAGCUGGUCCUGUUUUAACUUGUUAUUAUUAUACAUUUUAAUGUAUUAGACAAAUUAAUUACUGUACAUGAUUUAUUUUUUCUAUAGGCCUAUGUUAAACGAUAGUUAGAUUUUUAUAGGCCUAUAUUGCAUAUUACAGAACAAAAUUCUAAAUUUUCUAUUUUCCUAAGCUUGGAACAUAACCGUUAUGGGAAUUUGAAUGGGGUCAAAAUUAUUUCGAAAUUUUCGACAUACUAACAUAGUGUGGUGAGGAGGGGUAUUAUGCGUGCCGGUCCGUCAUGCUACAGGUCCAAAUUUUAAAUUUCCUUUUUUCCCUAAAUUUGGAACAUACCUGUUUAUGGUAAUUUUAAUGGGGGCCGAAAUCAUUUCGAAAUUUUCGACAUACAAACGUGGGGUGGUGGUGGGGUCGAGGCGAUUUUCAUAAGAUUUUUGCAGGCAACCACAUUAAUAUUUUUUGUUUUAUCUAUACCCAUAUAUUUAUAUAUUUUAAAAUA